rnacentral:rRNA from 1 species
GAUGAACGCUGGCGGCGUGCCUAAUACAUGCAAGUCGAGCGCACAGACGAGGAGCUUGCUCCUCUGACGUUAGCGGCGGACGGGUGAGUAACACGUGGAUAACCUACCUAUAAGACUGGGAUAACUUCGGGAAACCGGAGCUAAUACCGGAUAAUAUAUUGAAUCGCAUGGUUCUAUAGUGAAAGAUGGUUUUGCUUGCCCAUAUAGAUGGAUUCGCGCCGCAUUAGCUAGUUGGGAAGGUAACGGCUUACAAAGGCAACGAUGGGUAGCCGACCGGAGAGGGUGAUCGGCCACCCUGGAACUAAGAAAGGCUCCAGACUCCUACGGGAGGCAGCAGUGGGGAAUUUUCCGAAAUGGGGGAAAGCCUGCCGGGGCAACCCCGCGUAGGUAAUGAAGGUUUUCGGAUCGUAAAACCCGGUGAAUAGGGAAAAACAAAUGGGUAAUUAAAUAUGCACGUCGUGACGGUACCUUAUCAGAAAGCGACGGCUAACUACGUG